rnacentral:rRNA from 1 species
CCUACGGGAGGCAGCAGUGAGGAAUAUUGGUCAAUGGACGGAAGUCUGAACCAGCCAUGCCGCGUGCAGGAAGACGGCUCUAUGAGUUGUAAACUUCUUUUGUACAAGGGUAAACCUGAAUACGUGUACUUAUCUGAAAGUACUGUACGAAUAAGGAUCGGCUAACUCCGUGCCAGCAGCCGCGGUAAUACGGAGGAUCCAAGCGUUAUCCGGAUUUAUUGGGUUUAAAGGGUGCGUAGGUGGAUUGAUAAGUUAGAGGUGAAAUGUCCGAGCUUAACUCGGGAACUGCCACUAAUACUGGUAAUCUAGAGAGUAGAUGCGGUAGGCGGAAUGUAUGGUGUAGCGGUGAAAUGCUUAGAGAUCAUACAGAACACCGAUUGCGAAGGCAGCUUACCAAUCUAUAUCUGACAUUGAGGCACGAAAGCGUGGGGAGCAAACAGGAUUAGAUACCCUAGUAGUC